rnacentral:rRNA from 1 species
AGAGUUUGAUCCUGGCUCAGGACGAACGCUGGCGGCGCGCCUAACACAUGCAAGUCGAACGAGCGAGAGAGAGCUUGCUUUCUCGAGCGAGUGGCGAACGGGUGAGUAACGCGUGAGGAACCUGCCUCAAAGAGGGGGACAACAGUUGGAAACGACUGCUAAUACCGCAUAAGCCCACGGGUCGGCAUCGACCAGAGGGAAAAGGAGCAAUCCGCUUUGAGAUGGCCUCGCGUCCGAUUAGCUAGUUGGUGAGGUAACGGCCCACCAAGGCGACGAUCGGUAGCCGGACUGAGAGGUUGAACGGCCACAUUGGGACUGAGACACGGCCCAGACUCCUACGGGAGGCAGCAGUGGGGAAUAUUGCACAAUGGGGGAAACCCUGAUGCAGCGACGCCGCGUGGAGGAAGAAGGUCUUCGGAUUGUAAACUCCUGUUGUUGGGGAAGAUAAUGACGGUACCCAACAAGGAAGUGACGGCUAACUACGUGCCAGCAGCCGCGGUAAAACGUAGGUCACAAGCGUUGUCCGGAAUUACUGGGUGUAAAGGGAGCGCAGGCGGGAAGACAAGUUGGAAGUGAAAUCUAUGGGCUCAACCCAUAAACUGCUUUCAAAACUGUUUUUCUUGAGUAGUGCAGAGGUAGGCGGAAUUCCCGGUGUAGCGGUGGAAUGCGUAGAUAUCGGGAGGAACACCAGUGGCGAAGGCGGCCUACUGGGCACCAACUGACGCUGAGGCUCGAAAGUGUGGGUAGCAAACAGGAUUAGAUACCCUGGUAGUCCACACCGUAAACGAUGAUUACUAGGUGUUGGAGGAUUGACCCCUUCAGUGCCGCAGUUAACACAAUAAGUAAUCCACCUGGGGAGUACGACCGCAAGGUUGAAACUCAAAGGAAUUGACGGGGGCCCGCACAAGCAGUGGAGUAUGUGGUUUAAUUCGACGCAACGCGAAGAACCUUACCAAGUCUUGACAUCCCUUGACAGGCAUAGAAAUAUGUUUUCUCUUCGGAGCAAGGAGACAGGUGGUGCAUGGUUGUCGUCAGCUCGUGUCGUGAGAUGUUGGGUUAAGUCCCGCAACGAGCGCAACCCUUAUGGUCAGUUACUACGCAAGAGGACUCUGGCCAGACUGCCGUUGACAAAACGGAGGAAGGUGGGGAUGACGUCAAAUCAUCAUGCCCUUUAUGACUUGGGCUACACACGUACUACAAUGGCGUUAAACAAAGAGAAGCAAGACCGCGAGGUGGAGCAAAACUCAGAAACAACGUCCCAGUUCGGACUGCAGGCUGCAACUCGCCUGCACGAAGUCGGAAUUGCUAGUAAUCGUGGAUCAGCAUGCCACGGUGAAUACGUUCCCGGGCCUUGCACACACCGCCCGUCA